AUUGAACGCUGGCGGCAUGCUUUACACAUGCAAGUCGAACGGUAACAGGGUGCUUGCACCGCUGACGAGUGGCGAACGGGUGAGUAAUGCGUCGGAACGUGCCGAGUAGUGGGGGAUAACGCAGCGAAAGUUGUGCUAAUACCGCAUACGUACUGAGGUAGAAAGUGGGGGACCUUCGGGCCUCACGCUAUUCGAGCGGCCGACGUCUGAUUAGCUAGUAGGUGAGGUAAAGGCUCACCUAGGCGACGAUCAGUAGCGGGUCUGAGAGGAUGAUCCGCCACACUGGGACUGAGACACGGCCCAGACUCCUACGGGAGGCAGCAGUGGGGAAUUUUGGACAAUGGGCGAAAGCCUGAUCCAGCCAUGCCGCGUGUCUGAAGAAGGCCUUCGGGUUGUAAAGGACUUUUGUCAGGGAGGAAAUCCCUAGCGUUAAUACCGCUGGGGGAUGACAGUACCUGAAGAAUAAGCACCGGCUAACUACGUGCCAGCAGCCGCGGUAA
rnacentral:rRNA from 1 species